GUACUUCAGCGUGUAUAACCUGCAGUACUUCAGCGUGUGUAACCUGCAGUACUUCAGCGUGUAUAACCUGCAGUACUUCAGCGUGUGUUGUAGUAAAGCUGACCUGUUUUCUGCAGUAACAUCUCUGCAGACGACAUGUUGUACAUGGAGACGGACCUGGAGGAGAGCAUGGAGAAGAUGGAGACCAUCAACUUCCACAGUGCGGACGGUAACAAGUGGUGAACACAGCGGUCAAAAACACCAUCCCGAAGGCCGCAGAGAAGAAACUGCACGAUCUGGAGCCAGGGGACUGGAUUGUGGGAAAGGACUUCAGGAGAAAGAGCUCGCAGGUGGACCGGGCCAUUUCAGAUACUGCUAACAACAGAAACAGCAGUAAAAGUGUCUGAAAGAGCAACUUGGAUUCACGCCACCCACUGCAAACGAGUGCCAAAGCAACCAAAAGGCCUCAAACCAGGCGAAGAUGGAGAUCAGUGAUUGAGCUGAGCUUUCCCCUGCCUUGUGUUCCUAGGGAGGGAGGGGAGUGGAGGUCUCUGAGACCACCUAGAACCACUAAUCUCCCAAACACUCACCGCGGGCACACUGAAACCAACAGAUGGCUCUGGAGAGGUGACGGACCGAGACAAAACGGAGGCGUUGUUCUGCUCACUGUCAUCAUUUCCAAACAUGAAAACAACAAACUUGGCCUGACUGAGGGAAAGUUCCAGGCCGAAGAGGAGGAGAUGCACGUCCUCCCUGACAGCCCGGCUGGGCUGAAAGACAAUGCAUGGUAUGCAACCACGAUGACCACUUCAAGAAAAGUAACCAAUCAGAGCUGUUAUGCGUGUGCACAGCUCCCUCAUGGAGUGGGGAACUCCAUACCAGUGAAACCCAGACCAAUAAAUGUUUCAGAGACACUAGGAGCCCUGUUAACCUUCACUCAAGGGUUUCCCAGGGUGGGCCGAGAAGUUAAGGAUAUGACCAAGACACUUAACUGUGUAACAUCAGCAUGGUCAACUUUAGGGUUAGGUUCAGGAACACGUCUCAGAUAACCACCAGAUGUACCUUGGACAUGGGUGUCUUUCUAUAGAUCCAGAUUGAGUGUCCCCUAGGGAACACUGAAAGACACCAUGUUCCUUUGAUGAGAUAGGACUCCGACCCUGAGACUAAGAUAAAAGCUGCAUGACCUGUUACACUGCAGCUCACUCGGAUGAUACUCUCGGAUGUGUAUGUGUCCCCUUGAAUUCCUUCUGCAGAAGACUUGAAUAAAAUUCACAGAAAGACAAGUGUUUGCUUUUUCCCACCACACCGUCUACAUUAAAUCGACUGAAAAUGCACAUCUAGUGGCCGUUCAUGUACACUGGGCAUGCACGUGCCAGUGUAAACUUGAAGCAGAUGGCGAUUUGGCGAAAGAAUAAAGUACUACAGAC